ensembl:lincRNA
GGCUCUUCUAAAUGUCCCCUAUUUCAAUGCAUCUCAGCACUGUUCAAGAGCUCAAAUAUGAUGCCACUGGUGUGCAAUACACAAAAAAAGUUUCUGCUCACUCUUCCCAUCACCCCAGCAUGAGCUGCUGACUAGGGCAUCUCACCCCCAGACGUCGACACAAAGCUGAUGUUCAUAGAGAUCAGUGGCUUGUCAUUUCUUUCAGUAAGAAGUUAAGAACCAGUGCUAGAAAGGUGAAGCUCAGGGGGCUGAAGACCAAGGCAAGGCCUUGGAGGUGAAAACAAAUUGAAGAAGAAAGAAACGCUCCCAUGUCCUGCUUAAUGGCCACAGAUAAUUUUAAGCUUGAGCAAAGAACCAAGCCUCCCAACACAAUGGAAAGAAAGGAGGCACCGUGUGAAGGGAAGAUGGCAUACGUGGCACAGACCUCCACCUCUGCUCACCACCACAGAAGGCCACUCCUGCAUGGGCAGCAACAACAGCACUCAGCUGAUUGGACCAAAAGAAAUGCUACGUGCGUUAGUUCAGGCUUGUCAAGAAGUAAAUGCCAAGAUGGAAUUAGAUGUGCAAGAAAUUUCUUGGAGAAGAGAGCAGGAAAGACAAGGAGAGCUUUCGGAUUGCAAUACAAGUCUAACACCAGUAGAAGGAGAGAAGAAAGGAAGGAAGAUGGGGUAAGAAGAAUCUCAGACUAUACUAA